ACUGAUCUAUUUCAACUGAAGUAUUGUAACGAAGGAGUUAAUGAGUAGGAACUUCAAUCAAAACAUCAAGUUUGAGAUUUUAUAGUAAAUUAGGAGAAAAGCCACUGAUUAAAAACAAAACAAGAAUUCACAACAAAUGCAAAACAAUUUCGAAGGAUAUCAAUUUCUUCUCUGUUAAUAAUGUUUUUCUCUCUCAGAAGAACAAUUAGUCAAAUGAUAAAAUAGAUUGGCAGGGUUGAUAUAUAAUUCAUGUUUUUGUAAUAUGGUUGUAAGUUUUUGGUGCUGUGCUGUGUUUUUCUCAUAAAAAAUCAUUUUCAGUCUGAUUACUUACUUCUGCAACAGAACAUCAAAGUAACAUAAAUAGAGGUUUUAUUUUUUGUACUGUUAACAUACCUGUGAGGAUUUAGUCUCAACUUUGAGGGAGCUAUUUGUGAUGUAUAAUAAUAACAGUAUUUUUCUGUUUUGGUCCACAAAAACUUUCCACUUGGUUUAGCACAUGCAAUAUGUGUGCAUGCAUGCAUAUUGACUCAUUUUAGAUGCUUUAUUUCAGUCAAUCAUUCUUUGUUAUGUGUAUAUAAAUAUAUGUAUGUGUGUAUGUGUUUGUAUGUAAAUGCACAUACACACACAUGCAGAUAUUGAACAUGUGUCAAACUUCUACACUUCUACAUUCUUCUUCAUCUUCCCUUUCUAUUAUAUUGCAACACAACUAACAAGAACUCUUAUUCCAGAACCAAUCUCCAUUAAAAAAACCCUUGUUAACCUAUACAGAGCAUCAACCUUCAGUGGGUCCCCGUUCAUUAUAAUGUUCAUUCUCUUCUCACUAACACUCUAACAAUGCAAAACACUUCCUGCUAUUAGAUAAUAGCUAGAGGAAGCCCCAAUCCUCGCCAGUUUAUUUUUAUCAAUUACCAUAGAGGAAAGUAAUAAUACAUCUGUUAGUGUUAACCCUUUCUACACAAAGCUAAGAUGUUGGUAAAACACGUUAAUAUUCAGGUAACAAAAAA